ACCGGUACCACUCAAGAAAAACAAAAUAGGCACCCAGUGCCAACCCUUCCAUUACCUCCCGCACCCACGGCCCUCCACUGUGACCACCAUCGCCGCCUCCUUCCACCGCGCCGGCGGCAUCCCUCCACUGUGCGCCACCCCUCUUCUUCCCCGCGCCGGCCACCUCCCUGCCCCGCGCGCCGCCCCAUCCUUCCCUCACGCUGACCGCCUCCCUCCACCGCGCGCCACCCUCCUCCUUCCUCCGCGCCGGCCACCUCACUCCCCCGUGUGCCGGAGGCCGCCUCCCUCCCCCGCGCCGACGGUCACCGCCUCCUUUCCCCGCCCCGCCGGACGCCGCUUCCUUCCCAGAUCCUGCCAUCGUCCCGCAACAUAACCGGCACCGCGGCUAUCGCCCCGCACCAUAUUCAUGCGCUGCUACCACUCUACCACCAUGUACAGGCAGUUCAACGCUCCAACCACAGGCCGUUCAAUCUCUCCACCGUGGACACGCCCCUCCACGUCCUUCUGGUUGCCUCUCAUCCCGGUGUGGCCUGGGCGUAGGGUUCUCCGCCGCUGCGACCAGCAGUCCAACCCGGCCGUCCUAGGCCGUUCACCGUCACAGCUCCCAGGCCGACUGUGUCAAGCCACCUUCCGGCUGUUUGGGCUCCCGUAUGCGUCCCCUGCCUCAGUUGGUGCACACGUCCCUGCCCAUCGUCCCUCCUCUUUGUUCUUCAUUACAUAAGCUAAUGUAAAAUCAGGUUUCGCCUGAGGCAGGGACAAAGAAGUGAGCAAAAAAGAUGAAUGACAGUUUGUUCACAAGUUCAGCCCUUUAUGUUGAAUUACUAACUUAGGUACUUGUGAUUUCUUAUUGUGUGUGAUUUUUGGUUAAUAUCUUGUAUGAUCCAUUUGGCAGAAAAGAUUCAUAUGAUUUGUGAUGCUUAUAUACAACACUUCUGUAAAUAAAAUAAUUUUUGCAUGUCAAUGGUUGAGGUGCAAAAAAAAGUACAUGUACAUAUACAAAUUACUACUGGAAAGGUUCAAAAACCAGAACUCAACAAGUUCAACGUUGAUGGUACUGUGCACAUGCAAAUUAGAUCAAUAGUAUUGUUGAACAAUUCCUACUCCUCAACUCCGGCGGCAUCCCUCCAUCCCGCACUGCCGCCUCCCCACCUCGCACAACCUCACCACCGUCCUACCCUCCCUGCUAUGUCCCUGGCCACCCUCGCGCCAUCGUAGCGCUCAGGCCGUUCACCGCCGGCACCACAGUACGUUCGCUGCCGACACCCGAGGUCGUUCAACGACGCAACGAUGAAGUCUGGCCUUCCCCCUUCCCCUUUUCAUGUAGCAUAUUCUGCAAAAAUAUUGGACGCUCUCAACUGAAUAGAAAGUGUGUCCCACAACUGUAGGUAUAACCACUGUAGAAGUUUGAAAAUCUCAACAAAUAAAGCUUAAACCAAUGUUCAAGAACUGCUUCCUUCAUAAAUUAGUUUUCUUUUGGUUAACUCGUUGUUAUGGACAGUGCAGAUGCACAUUCUUGUGUAGUACAUGUGCGUAUUGUAUAUAUUGGUUUAAGUUCUGAAUAAGAUAUAACAAAAAAGUUCAUAAAAAACCAGAACACCCGGUAGUUCUAGAAUCUGGGAGUUCAGGAAAAAAUGAUCCAAAAUGAGCUUCGGGAGGGUUUGAAAAAAACAUCAUGAGCAAGGAUUUAUUUUACGCUCACUAGUUUGGUUAUAACUACAAAAGUUGAUCUCUGUCUUGAUCUCUGUACUUAUUCAUUCUGUCACUCGAAUACUUCUCCAGCUGUUAUGAUGUGGCUUGGCAUUCAAUCACUCUUGGCGUUCUUCCAUAAACAAUGAAGGGAAUGCUAAAAGAAGGGUAUGUUUUCCAAGCUGACAUCUGCAAGCCCUCAUUAGGACAGGCAAAAUGCAGAAAUAAGUUCUGACCCUGAAAACUGGUAAGUUUGAAGAAACAAAUUCAGUGUUAUACAUGCUCAGUACUAGAACUCUUGGACGAUUACAUUUUUCUGAAGCUCUAGUUGACCUUAUGAUUGCAUCAGAGUUGGACUUCCUUGUAUUCAAGUGCUCGCAACUAAGCUUCACUUCUGGUUUGUUUGAAUUAUGUGGUAAAACUGAAUAAUGAGAUGGAUGUAUUAACUGGUAAACCAAUGCGUUCAUGUGCCUAGGUUAGCAAUCCAUUCACCAUUUUUUGCAGGUCCAGACGUCUCAAGCAGCUAAGGCCUACAUCUCCCUGCCAAUGUCUGAUCGCCUAUGCCGACAUGGUCGUGGUAAGUUUGUUGGCCUGCUUCCUAUGAUCUGAUGAGGUCAAGCCCACUGUCAUAUUAGUCGAAUAACCUCAUAUUGCUGCCGUCAAGGUUUCCCCUCGCUCUCUCCCCUGAAUCUCUUGAAGAACAUCCAUUCCCCUCGCUGAAUUCUUGAUAGCAUGUUCUAAAUAAGCUUGUAUUCACUCCCUAAGUACUCCUAAAAAGCACUUUUAUUCUAAUUAUACGGAUUUUAUACUUAUGGGAUGUUCAAAUAAACCAGUACACAUGUGUGGUGUCGUUUAUAUAAUUUUGUAUAUAAGAUAUAUAUGUGUAAGUUAUCUAAGAAAAUAAAGAAGAAAAUCAACUUGCAAAUAUAGGGAAACAUGUGUACCUUGAGAAAAGUUCAUAGAAUAAAUGCUAGGAGGUUCAUUUUGUGUUCGUUUAAAUGUCUUCAGUGCAAGUGUGGAGGGCCGGUAAGUUCUACUACCAGUCUAAGCCAAGUUCAGGAGCAUUGCCACUGAUGGCAAGGACAAUGAACCAACGACAUCGUAUCAUAGAUUCUCGGCAUGAUACUUGAAUUGGGGACUGGAUUUCAAGUAUUAAUUCUAGGCAAGUUUGAAAAGUAAACUGCAACAAGUUCUUGUUUAUUUAGCAAUGUAUAAGUUGACUGUGCAAAAACUCAAUGGUUCAAAUAUGAAAGAAGAAUGUAAAAGGUCCAACAUGUGCAUGUUGCCAGUGCCCCUAGUAGGCCUCCGCCCCCGGCUGCCAGUGUGGCUCACGGGCUUCCUGUACUCCUUCAACAUGUGCACGGUUGCUGCUCUCCUCUGCUUUCUCUCUCUUGCAUGAUGUUGCUGCUCCUCUGAAACCUCUCUAGCUCUAUUAGUUCAUGAUGCUGCCUUAUCUCUGAAUUGUGUGGUGACGCUGAGGUUUUGUUGCCACCCAUAGGAUCCCCUGCCUCCAUGUCCACAUUCAUAUGUGCUGCAAGUAAUUGUUUCAGUUCGAGCGGGUGCACAAAACACAAUGUUCUAGUGUGUGCAAUCCACAUGUGCUGCAAGUUCAAGUGUUUCAGUUCGAACAUUUGCUACCCUAGUCAUUUGUUUGUUGCUAAAAUGUCAUAGUCGUAGUUAUCAUUCUUGCAUGAAUUUUUUAUGUACCAUUGUGUCUAUUUCUAAAUGUCAUAGUCACUUUUAUUCACCGUCAGGUGUUUGCUUAAAUGCCUAAACAAAGAUCUAUUUUAGUUCAGUUCAAAUUCUAGUUUUAGUUCAGUGCAAAUCAUAUUUUAAGUUCAAUACAAUUUCUUAUUUUAACGUGGGCAAUCCUUCAAAUGUCUUGCCUUAUAUUGCUGCUCAUCCAUCAUAUUGUCGCGAAAAUAUUAGUUGCCCAUGGCGACAGUAAACAUUUUAUUCAUGAAAACUCAUGUCUUUAUCUGUUGGUAUCGAAAAAUGUGUUCUGGAUCAUAUCUUUGUGUGCUCUUUCUUGAUGUCAGUACAGAGAACCAAAAAUAUUACAUCAAAGUGACAAUGUUUAAUCUCUUCUAUGUUAGUGUAGGGUACAUGUAUACAACAUGUAAUCUGAAGUAAUGGUAGCAGUCUUACUAUGUAAGGGAGCAGCCGAACUCCAGUAAUUCGUGAGAAUAUGACUGUGGAUACAUGAGUGCAGGAAUAAUACAUUGUUAAUUAUUGCAGGUAGGUCAGACCUUAGAAGCCACAUGCAGCCGCACUUGCCGGCACCCGCGACGCACCACCACACCGCCCCCCACGGCGCGCCGUCCAACAGUCCGCCGGGCGCGGCGGCCUCCCGAGCUCCACCUUGCACGGCUACUCGUGCUCUGCCUUCCAGGUGACCAUGUGUCUGCCUCCGUGUGCUGCGUCGGUGGUGUUACGGAACUGAAGAUCUACCCAAUCUGAAUAGUAGGGAGGCUGCGUCAUGUACACUAUGGUGCAUCAAAUUCCACAUCAAUCUGAAUAGUAGGGAGCGUUUUAUGUCAUUCAUGUAUGAAAAUGUGCGGUCAGUGUGGUGUAUAUGUCAUUCUCGUACAAGUAUUAUAUGUGGAAAAUUUUCUGUCUAUGACGAUAUGAUUGCUACUUCAUCAAAAAAGGUAUACAUGA